rnacentral:rRNA from 1 species
CGGGACGGGUGAGUAAUGUCUGGGAAACUGCCUGAUGGAGGGGGGUAACUACUGGAAACGGUAGCUAAUACCGCAUAACGUCGCAAGACCAAAGAGGGGGACCUUCGGGCCUCUUGCCAUCGGAUGUGCCCAGAUGGGAUUAGCUAGUAGGUGGGGUAACGGCUCACCUAGGCGACGAUCCCUAGCUGGUCUGAGAGGAUGACCAGCCACACUGGAACUGAGCACGGUCCAG